AGCGAACGCUGGCGGCAGGCCUAACACAUGCAAGUCGAACGAAGUCUUCGGACUUAGUGGCGGACGGGUGAGUAACACGUGGGAACGUGCCUUUAGGUUCGGAAUAACUCGGGGAAACUUGUGCUAAUACCGAAUGUGCCCUUCGGGGGAAAGAUUUAUCGCCUUUAGAGCGGCCCGCGUCUGAUUAGCUAGUUGGUGAGGUAAAGGCUCACCAAGGCUACGAUCAGUAGCUGGUCUGAGAGGAUGACCAGCCACAUUGGGACUGAGACACGGCCCAAACUCCUACGGGAGGCAGCAGUGGGGAAUCUUGUGCAAUGGGCGAAAGCCUGACGCAGCCAUGCCGCGUGGAUGAUGAAGGUCUUAGGAUUGUAAAAUCCUUUCACCGGUGAAGAUAAUGACUGUAGCCGGAGAAGAAGCCCCGGCUAACUUCGUGCCAGCCGCCGCAGUAAAAC
rnacentral:rRNA from 1 species